rnacentral:rRNA from 1 species
GACGAACGCUGGCGGCGUGCCUAAUACAUGCAAGUAGAACGCACAGUUUAUACCGUAGCUUGCUACACCAUAGACUGUGAGUUGCGAACGGGUGAGUAACGCGUAGGUAACCUGCCUGGUAGCGGGGGGUAACUAUUGGAAACGAUAGCUAAUACCGCAUAAUAUUGAUUAUUGCAUGAUAAUUGAUUGAAAGAUGCUAUUGCAUCACUACCAGCUGGACCUGCGUUGUAUUAGCUAGUAGGUGAGGUAACGGCUCACCUAGGCGACGAUACAUAGCCGACCUGGGAGGGUGAUGGGCCACACUGGGACUGAGAAACGGCCCAGACUCCUACGGGAGGCAGCAGUAGGGAAUCUUCGGCAAUGGACGAAAGUCUGACCGAGCAACGCCGCGUGAGUGAAGAAGGUUUUCGGAUCGUAAAGCUCUGUUGUAAGGGAAGAACGGGUGUGAGAGUGGAAAGUUCACACUGUGACGGUAUCUUACCAGAAAGGGACGGCUAACUACGUG